UGUAUUAUACAGAUGGGCUCUAAAUCCAGUGACAAGUGUCCUUAUAAGAUACAGAAGGAGAGGAUGCAGUGACACUGAGGAGAAGGCCACCAGAACACAGAGGCAAAUAUAUUGGAGUGACAUAGUCCCAAGCCAAGAAAUGCCUGGAGCCAUGGGAAGACAAUUGAGCCUAUAGAAACACAGACGGUGCCUAGAUGAUUACAGCCGACUUCUGCUGACUCAACCAACGAGUAGCACCAGUUGAAGCUGUAAUGCCGAACAUGCUGUCUUCGCUUAAAAGAUUAAUGAGGCUUCAAGCACAUGGUUACCACUGAGUUGAAGCAUGCAGGCUUUUCCAUCUUCAUCAAGAAGGAGGACUCUAAAAAAAACCUGCCUGAUUUGAGCUACUUGUGACUGUUCAUAGCUUUCUUCAUCUCUCUCCUACCUCCAGUUGAAGAAAGAUGG
rnacentral:lncRNA from 1 species